CCUACGGGGGGCAGCAGUGAGGAAUAUUGGUCAAUGGGCGCGAGCCUGAACCAGCCAAGUCGCGUGAGGGAGGACGGUCCUACGGGUUGUAAACCUCUUUUGCCGGGGAGCAACGGGUGCCACGUGUCGCGUCACUGAGAGUACUCGGAGAAAAAGCAUCGGCUAACUCCGUGCCAGCAGCCGCGGGAAUACGUAGGGAGCGAGCGUUAUCCGGAUUCUUUGGGCGUAAAGCGCGCGUAGGCGGCUGCCUAAGCGGAACCUCUAAGCCCGGGGCUCAACCUCGGGCCGGGUUCCGAACUGGGCGGCUCGAGUGCGGUAGAGGCAGGCGGAAUUCCCGGUGUAGCGGUGGAAUGCGCAGAUAUCGGGAAGAACACCGAUGGCGAAGGCAGCCUGCUGGGCCGUCACUGACGCUGAGGCGCGAAAGCUGGGGGAGCGAACAGGAUUAGAUACCCUUGUAGUC
rnacentral:rRNA from 1 species